GUGUGUAGUGCAACGGUUCAGCACGUGCUCCCUGAUAGGGUGAAAUGUGGGUUUGAAUCCCACUUGACGCA